GAGAGUUGGUUAGUCAGUACGAGCGCAACCCUAUCCUUAUUUGCCAGCGCAUAAUGGCGGGAACUAUAAGGAGACUGCCGGACAUAAUCCGGAGGAAGGCGGGGACGAGGUCAAGUCAUCAUGGCCCUUAUGGGUAGGGCUACACACGUGAUACAAUGGGUGGUACAGAGGGUCGCCAAAGCGCGAGCUGGAGCCAAACCCUUAAAACCAUUCUUAGUCCGGAUUGGAGUCUGCAACUCGACUCCACGAAGUUGGAAUCGCUAGUAAUCGCGAAUCAGAAUGUCGCGGUGAAUACGUUCUCGGGCCUUGUACACACCGCCCGUCACGUCAUGGAAGUGGGUUGCACCAGAAGUGGCUUGUUUAACCUUCGGGAAAACGGUCACCACGGUGUGAUUCACAACUGGGACGAAGUCGUAACAAGGUAGCCCUAGGGGAACCUGGGGCUGGAUCACCUCCUU
rnacentral:rRNA from 1 species